AAUCUGUUUGAUCUGUACCAAUUUUUAAAUUUUAAAUUUUCUGACUGAAUUUAAAAAGAGCUUUUGAAGUCAAUAAUAUUUUCGAUGCCAAAAUGAUAUCUCUAAGUAAAUUUUAUAGGUGCACCUAACCUCUACAGUAUAAGGAGACAACUUCAUACAAACCUCACCUUUUUUUUAAUAUUCUCAAGUUUGACCACCAAAACUCGGGAUACUCGAGCUCGCCACUGUGGUAAGCCCAUCUUACUCCGGCAAGUCUAGGUUGGCUCGCAUGAGUAGUUAGACAUUAUCCUACAAUCUCUCACAUCCAUUGCCGUAAAAAAAUAAUAAGAACUUUAUUUAUCCCUGACAGCAAAAUCUGACCAAAAUACUCUGAAGGAAAAUUGUUUGGUGCAUCAUAGCCCCCACCUAUUGUAAAGCUCCACCAAAAU
rnacentral:lncRNA from 1 species